rnacentral:lncRNA from 1 species
ACCCUGCUUCUUGCAAAAAAAGCACUCUGCCUAAUUUUGAUCAGUCUUGAACUUGAGUUUCUGGGACUGACUCCCAGCACCAGGUAUCUUUUUAUUCUUCUUCUUUUUUUUCUUAAAGGGAUGAUGACUAUCCAAAGAAGAUCCUUCCACUAGAUUCACUGUCUCCUUGUGGAGCUGAUGAUCUUUUUCAAAAGUCUGUAGCAACCCCAAU